rnacentral:rRNA from 1 species
GUGGGGAAUAUUGGACAAUGGGCGCAAGCCUGAUCCAGCCAUGCCGCGUGAGUGAAGAAGGCCCUCGGGUUGUAAAGCUCUUUUGUCCGGAAAGAAAAGCACUUGGCUAAUACCCAGGUGUCCUGACGGUACCGGAAGAAUAAGCACCGGCUAACUUCGUGCCAGCAGCCGCGGUAAUACGAAGGGUGCAAGCGUUACUCGGAAUUACUGGGCGUAAAGCGUGCGUAGGUGGUUCGUUAAGUCUGAUGUGAAAGCCCUGGGCUCAACCUGGGAAUUGCAUUGGAUACUGGCGGGCUAGAGUACGGUAGAGGGUGGCGGAAUUCCCGGUGUAGCAGUGAAAUGCGUAGAGAUCGGGAGGAACAUCCGUGGCGAAGGCGGCCACCUGGACCAGUACUGACACUGAGGCACGAAAGCGUGGGGAGCAAACAGG